rnacentral:rRNA from 1 species
AGAAACCAACAGGGAUUCCCCUAGUAACGGCGAGUGAAGCGGGAACAGCUCAAAUUUGAAAUCUGGCCCUUGGGUCCGAGUUGUAAUUUGUAGAGGAUGCUUUUGGUGCGGUGCCUUCCGAGUUCCCUGGAACGGGACGCCUUAGAGGGUGAGAGCCCCGUACGGUUGGACGCCUAGCCUCUGUAAAGCUCCUUCGACGAGUCGAGUAGUUUGGGAAUGCUGCUCUAAAUGGGAGGUAUAUUUCUUCUAAAGCUAAAUACUGGCCAGAGACCGAUAGCGCACAAGUAGAGUGAUCGAAAGAUGAAAAGCACUUUGAAAAGAGGGUUAAAUAGCACGUGAAAUUGUUGAAAGGGAAGCGUUUAUCACCAGACUUUUUCUGGGGGGAUCAUCCGGUGUUCUCACCGGUGCACUUCCCCCAGUUGAGGCCAGCAUCGGUUUUCGGAGGGGGAUAAAAGCUUCGGGAAUGUGACUCCCUCGGGAGUGUUAUAGCCCGUUGCAUAAUACCCUUCUGGGGACCGAGGUUCGCGCAUCUGCAAGGAUGCUGGCAUAAUGGUGAUCAAC